rnacentral:tRNA from 1 species
GGAGAGGUGGCCGAGUGGCCGAAGGCGCUCCCCUGCUAAGGAGUACACCUCAAAGGGUGUCGGGGUUCGAAUCCCCCUCUCCGCCA